GCGAAGGAGAGACUUUGAGCGUCAACGCCACCAAACGAGUGCCUAAUGCAUGUCUUUUAUCAUUUGCCUUCCUUAUCAUUUUCCAACCCGAGCGAGCUUCUCCCUCUCCCUCUCGCGACAGCGGCGGCAAAUCGAAGGGAAGGGAGCGGCGGUGGAGACUCAACGGUGGCCGGCUAGAAGAGAGGAGAUGGUCUACGCCGCCCUUCCUCUUCGCUGACACAGCCACUGAGCCCGACUGGAGACCUAGCCUAUCGCAGCUCACGAUCUCCGGCGUCUCCCCCGUCUGCGCCACCAACGCCGGCUGGUAGAAAGAAAAAGAUAUGCAAGUUCUUCAAGUUGCUGCAUACAUAUGGGGAGUUUCUGACUGAGCGUCCCAUUUUAUCUUCUUCAUAUAAUUGAAGAUCUUCACAGGAAGAAAGUGGAGAGCAAUGUGAACCAAUGUGCAAAUCAGCGAUCUGAUUGAGAAAAUCAAGAGGCUCAGCAAAAAUCUAGAUGAAGAGAGAUGUGAGACGGGUAUUGAGCAACAAGUGAAUAAUGCAAAAUUUCAGAUGCUGGAGAAUGAGGCAAAAGGAAGAGGAAUGGGGUGAUUUAGCCUGUUUCUAUGGUUCCUUUCGGGGUUUUUGCUAUAUUUGUUGGUGGGGCAUUGGAAUUUGGGAAGAGCAACUAGAAUUUUAGUGUAGUAUAUUUCACCAGACUUUUAGUGUCUCCUGGAUUUAUGUAAUGAAGUAUCACUGACUGGCUAGUUUAAGUAGUACUACUGUGGCAACGAUCUUGUUGUACAUAGAAGUUGUACUUAGCAUCAGUAGAACUCAUGCUUGAUGGGUGUGUUGUGCAUUUAUUCAGUCGGGUGAGGACUGCGGCUGGCGGUUCCGUUCCA